rnacentral:rRNA from 1 species
UGAGCAAUCUGCCCUUCUCAUCGGAAUAAGCGUUGGAAACGACGUCUAAUGCCGAAUACGACCUCCUUUCGCAUGAUCGGAGGUGGAAAGCUCCGGCGGAGAAGGAUGAGCUCGCGGCCUAUCAGCUAGUUGGUGUGGGUAACGCCCACCAAGGCGACGACGGGUAGCUGGUCUGAGAGGACGACCAGCCACACUGGAACUGAGAUACGGUCCAGACUCCGUAGGAGG